AGCUAUGGCUCAAAGGUAGAGCAUCUGCUUUGCAUGCAGAAGAUCCCAGGUUCAGUCCCCAGGUAGGGCUG